rnacentral:rRNA from 1 species
CGACGAAUCUUCCGCAAUGGGCGAAAGCCUGACGGAGCGACGCCGCGUGUGGGAUGAAGCGCCUUCGGCGUGUAAACCACUGUCAGAGGACAGAAACACUGAUUGUCCUCAGAGGAAGGGGCGACUAACUCUGUGCCAGCAGUCGCGGUAAUACAGAGGCCCCGAGCGUUAAUCGGAAUUACUGGGCUUAAAGGGUGCGUAGGCGGACCAGAAAGUGCUUUGUGAAAGCCCCCGGCUCAACCGGGGAACUGCGGGGCAUACUACUGGUCUUGAGGCAAGUAAGGGUUGCGAGAACUGUAGGUGGAGCGGUGAAAUGCGUAGAUAUCUACAGGAAUGCCGAUGGUGAAGACGCGCAACUGGGCUUGUCCUGACGCUGAGGCACGAAAGCGUGGGGAGCAAACAGGAUUAGAUACCCCCGUAGUCC